rnacentral:rRNA from 1 species
UACGGGGGGGGCAAGCGUUGUUCGGAAUUACUGGGCGUAAAGGGCUCGUAGGCGGCCAACUAAGUCGGAUGUGAAAUCCCCAAGCUUAACUUGGGAACUGCAUCCGAUACUGGAUGGCUUGAAUCCGGGAGAGGGAUGCAGAAUUCCAGGUGUAGCGGUGAAAUGCGUAGAUAUCAGGAGGAACACCGGUGGCGAAAGCGGCUCACUGGCCCGAAUCUGACACUGAGGUGCGAAAGCUAGGGUAGCAAACGGG